rnacentral:rRNA from 1 species
AUUGAACGCUGGCGGCAGGCUUAACACAUGCAAGUCGAGCGGGGGAAGGUAGCUUGCUACCGGACCUAGCGGCGGACGGGUGAGUAAUGCUUAGGAAUCUGCCUAUUAGUGGGGGACAACAUCUCGAAAGGGCUGCUAAUACCGCAUACGUCCUACGAGAGAAAGCAGGGGAUCUUCGGACCUUGCGCUAAUAGAUGAGCCUAAGUCGGAUUAGGUAGUUGGUGGGGUAAAGGCCUACCAAGGCGACGAUCUGUAGCGGGUCUGAGAGGAUGAUCCGCCACACUGGGACUGAGACACGGCCCAGACUCCUACGGGAGGCAGCAGUGGGGAAUAUUGGACAAUGGGGGGAACCCUGAUCCAGCCAUGCCGCGUGUGUGAAGAAGGCCUUAUGGUUGUAAAGCACUUUAAGCGAGGAGGAGGCUACUUUAGUUAAUACCUGGAGAUAGUGGACGUUACUCGCAGAAUAAGCACCGGCUAACUCUGUGCCAGCAGCCGCGGUAA